AGCCUUCUGUAUCCAUGCUGAGAUUUCGUCACGCACAAGACCACAAGAGCUGAUGAGACUCUAAGAUAAGUGAAGCG
rnacentral:pre_miRNA from 1 species